rnacentral:rRNA from 1 species
UACGGAGGGGGCUAGCGUUGUUCGGAAUUACUGGGCGUAAAGCGCGCGUAGGCGGACCUGCAAGUCGGGGGUGAAAGCCCGAGGCUCAACCUCGGAACUGCCUUCGAUACUGCGGGUCUCGAGUCCGGGAGAGGUGAGUGGAAUUCCUAGUGUAGAGGUGAAAUUCGUAGAUAUCGGGAGGAACACCAGUGGCGAAGGCGACUUCCUGGCCUGUUCUUGACGCUGAGGCGCGAAAGCUAGGGGAGCAAACGGG